rnacentral:rRNA from 1 species
UGGGACAACAGCUGGAAACGGCUGCUAAUACCAGAUAUGCCUUUAAGUGAAAAGGGGCAACCGCCUGAGGAUGAGCUCGCGUCUGAUUAGCUAGUUGGUGGGGUAAGAGCCUACCAAGGCGUCGAUCAGUAACUGGUCUGAGAGGAUGAUCAGUCACACUGGGACUGAGACACGGCCCAGACUCCUACGGGAGGCAGCGGUGGGGAAUUUUCCGCAAUGGGCGAAAGCCUGACGGAGCAAUACCGCGUGAGGGAGGAAGGCUCUUGGGUCGUAAACCUCUUUUCUCAGGGAAGAACUUAAUGACGGUACCUGAGGAAUCAGCAUCGGCUAACUCCGUGCCAGCAGCCGCGGUAAUACGGAGGAUGCAAGCGUUAUCCGGAAUGAUUGGGCGUAAAGCGUCCGCAGGUGGCAAUUCAAGUCUGCUGUCAAAGACUGGGGCUUAACCCUGGAAAGGCAGUGGAAACUGAACAGCUAGAGUUGGGUAGGGGCAGAGGGAAUUCCUGGUGUAGCGGUGAAAUGCGUAGAGAUCAGGAAGAACACCGGUGGCGAAAGCGCUCUGCUGGGCCGCAACUGACACUCAUGGACGAAAGCUAGGGGAGCGAAUGGGAUUAGAUACCCCAGUAGUCCUAGCCGUAAACGAUGGAUACUAGGCGUUGCUCGUAUCGACCCGAGCAGUGUCGUAGCUAACGCGUUAAGUAUCCCGCCUGGGGAGUACGCGCGCAAGCGUGAAACUCAAAGGAAUUGACGGGGGCCCGCACAAGCGGUGGAGUAUGUGGUUUAAUUCGAUGCAACGCGAAGAACCUUACCAGGGCUUGACAUGUC